AUUGAACGCUGGCGGCAUGCCUUACACAUGCAAGUCGAACGGCAGCACGGGUGCUUGCACCUGGUGGCGAGUGGCGAACGGGUGAGUAAUACAUCGGAACGUACCUUAUCGUGGGGGAUAACGCAGCGAAAGCUGUGCUAAUACCGCAUACGCCCUGAGGGGGAAAGCGGGGGAUCGCAAGACCUCGCGCGAUUAGAGCGGCCGAUGCCUGAUUAGCUUGUUGGUGGGGUAAAAGCCCACCAAGGCGACGAUCUGUAGCUGGUCUGAGAGGACGAGCAGCCGCCCGGGGGCUGGGACAGGGCCCAGACUCCUACGGGAGGCAGGAGGGGGGAAGUUUGGACAAGGGGGGCAACCCUGAUCCAGCAAUGCCGCGUGAGUGAAGAAGGCCUUCGGGUUGUAAAGCUCUUUUGUCAGGGAAGAAACACCGGCUCUAACACAGUCCGGGAAUGACGGUACCUGAAGAAUAAGCACCGGCUAACUACGUGCCAGCCGCCGCCGUAA
rnacentral:rRNA from 1 species